UACGGGGGGGGCAAGCGUUGUUCGGAAUUACUGGGCGUAAAGGGCUCGUAGGUGGCCAACUAAGUCAGACGUGAAAUCCCUCAGCUUAACUGGGGAACUGCGUCUGAUACUGGAUGGCUUGAGAUUGGGAGAGGGAUGCGGAAUUCCAGGUGUAGCGGUGAAAUGCGUAGAUAUCUGGAGGAACACCGGUGGCGAAGGCGGCAUUCUGGACCGAUAUUGACGCUGAGGAGCGAAAGCCAGGGGAGCAAACGGG
rnacentral:rRNA from 1 species